UGGGGAAUUUUGGACAAUGGGGCAACCUGAUCCAGCAAUGCCGCGUGUGUGAAGAAGGCCUUCGGGUUGUAAAGCACUUUUGUCCGGAAAGAAAUCCUUGGCUCUAAUACAGUCGGGGGAUGACGGUACCGGAAGAAUAAGCACCGGCUAACUACGUGCCAGCAGCCGCGGUAAUACGUAGGGUGCAAGCGUUAAUCGGAAUUACUGGGCGUAAAGCGUGCGCAGGCGGUUUGCUAAGACCGAUGUGAAAUCCCCGGGCUCAACCUGGGAACUGCAUUGGUGACUGGCAGGCUAGAGUAUGGCAGAGGGGGGUAGAAUUCCACGUGUAGCAGUGAAAUGCGUAGAGAUGUGGAGGAAUACCGAUGGCGAAGGCAGCCCCCUGGGCCAAUACUGACGCUCAUGCACGAAAGCGUGGGGAGCAAACAGGAUUAGAUACCCUGGUAGUCCACGCCCUAAACGAUGUCAACUAGUUGUUGGGGAUUCAUUUCCUUAGUAACGUAGCUAACGCGUGAAGUUGACCGCCUGGGGAGUACGGUCGCAAGAUUAAAACUCAAAUGAAUUGACGGGGUCAUAGCUGUUUCCU
rnacentral:rRNA from 1 species